UUUGAUCCUUCAGGCACAGUUUAUUUUGCUACCGAGCUUUACAAUAUUUCUUCAGUGUUGCUGAAAUUCAAAGCUGGCCUCUGGAGUCAGACUUCCUGGGUUAAAAUCCCAGAUCUACUAUUUAGAAUGAGUGGCAGAGAAGAGCAGAAGAGAGAGCCUCCAAGACUCAACUACAGUCCCCAAAGUCAAUCAGCAUAAGCAUUGGCAAGGAUGUGGAACAACACGAACUCUUGCUGGGAGACACAGGAUUGGGAAAACCA
rnacentral:lncRNA from 1 species